UACGUAGGGGGCUAGCGUUGUUCGGAAUCACUGGGCGUAAAGGGCGCGUAGGCGGCUUUAUAAGUCGGGGGUGAAAGCCUGUGGCUCAACCACAGAAUUGCCUUCGAUACUGUAGAGCUUGAGACCGGAAGAGGUAAGUGGAACUGCGAGUGUAGAGGUGAAAUUCGUAGAUAUUCGCAAGAACACCAGUGGCGAAGGCGGCUUACUGGUCCGGUUCUGACACUGAGGCGCGAAAGCGUGGGGAGCAAACAGG
rnacentral:rRNA from 1 species